rnacentral:rRNA from 1 species
CCUACGGGCGGCAGCAGUGGGGGAUAUUGCACAAUGGGGGAAACCCUGAUGCAGCGACGCCGCGUGUGGGAAGACGGUCCUCUGGAUUGUAAACCACUGUCGCCAGGGACGAAGAUGACGGUACCUGGCGCGGACGCUCCGGCUAACUACGGGCCAGCAGCCGCGGUAAUACGGAGGGAGCGAGCUUUGUCCGGAAUUACUGGGUGUAAAGGGAGCGUAGGCGGGACUGCAAGUUGGGUGUCAAAUCUACCGGCUCAACCGGUAGCCGCACUCAAAACUGCAGGUCUUGAGUGAAGUAGAGGCAGGCGGAAUUCGUGGUGUAGCGGUGAAAUGCGUAGAUAUCGGGAGGAACACCAGUGGCGAAGGCGGCCUGCUGGG